rnacentral:rRNA from 1 species
UACAGAGGUCUCAAGCGUUGUUCGGAAUCACUGGGCGUAAAGGGUGCGUAGGCGGCGUGGAAAGUCAGAUGUGAAAUCCGGAGGCUCAACCUCCGAAUUGCAUCCGAUACUACCGUGCUCGAGAGCUGUAGAGGGAUCUGGAAUUCUCGGUGUAGCAGUGAAAUGCGUAGAUAUCUGGAGGAACACCGGUGGCGAAGGCGGCAUCCUGGACCAAUUCUGACGCUGAGGAGCGAAAGCCAGGGGAGCAAACGGG